AUGUCGAUCAUUUUCACCUCGGGUAAAUUGGGUGUUUGCAAUUGAAAACUGCUAUGUAGUCAAAUGCCGUUAGGGGUUGCCUAUAUAGACUUGCCAGGGUAAUCCCAAUUUGUAUCCGUCCAUUUCCUCUGUUUUUAUCAGAUUUCUAAUUACGUUAAUGCUUUUUAACUUUUCUUAUUGAAUUUUAAUUAUACUUUAAGGAAUAACGCACAUUUUUCAAUAAGUUUAAAAUAUAUUUCAAUUCAUUUUAAUCUUUAAAUUGCAUUUUAAAAUUUAAAAUUAAGGUUUUCGGAAUCUCAGUCUGGGACAGGGCGCCCCUAGCGGUUAAUUCACCAACUAAGAAGUAUGGAAAUCGAUUUUUAAUCAAUUGUAAUCGAUAUCCUAAUCCUAAGUAUUGCUAAUAGACGAAAAGCGUCGUCUGCUUGAGUUUUCGUUUACAAAUUUCAAGUAAGCAAGCUUAAAACAAGUUUCGAAAAGGAGAAUAAUCGAAAUUAUAAGAAUUCAACGAAAAACGGAACGAGCACUGUUUUGGACGUGGAUGCACGGAAAUAAAAUAACAUAAAUGUGGUCAUCGUUAUGUGAAUUUGGUGUCGCAGCUCUCCACUCGGGUCUCCACUCCAUGCUGUUUGGCAGGUAAAAACUCAAUAAAAAUGGGAUGAUUAUGGAAGCUUAAAUAGAAGUUUAACUUGUUCCAAUUUUCCUAUGAUUGUGAAUUGUUCCUGCUAGCAUUAUUUAUCCCUUUGUCAAUGCAUGGCAGUUUGUUUGCACUUUAAUGUAACCUUUUCCGUUGUGGCCUGGGCCAGCCAACAUAACAGCACAGUUUUGCUUGUGCUUGAUCUCCCUGGAGUAAGUCACAUAUGUAUCAUAUGUUAAACUUCUUAAAUUUUAGUGUUAAGAAAUAAAGUUCUCAGUUUAUUUUUCUUACAGGUUCAUUUAAAGAGAUUGGUUUAACAAGAAAUGGAAGUUUCUAAAGGGGAGAUUCAAUAAUGAGUGUAAGUCUUGUGUCCUCUUAGGUGUUGUAACCUACUCCUCUAGAUACACCUCUGUUAUUUCCCUGGAGAAAGUUCAGGGUGUUCAAAUCCACCAUGACAGUUAAACCGACUCAUCAAAUAAGGUUGGACCCAAGCGAAUGGAACAAGGUUAUCUGCAAUCUUAUUACAGGGAUUUUCAUUUUCAUUUUACAUUAAUUUUGUAGCCUAAUGGUUAACUGUAUAGUUCAUCAGAGCGCUCGAAGUAGGUUUCCAGCUCAUUGGUGAAAGCUUCCAGCUCUUUUGGUAGGUUGAAAUAACUCAUGUCUUUUUGCAAUGUUUUACUCGUGGACGCUAUUGAUUAAAGUUUAAUCAUUUGCUUUCGGUUGCGUGACAGCGUGAACAUAUGACAAGGUAAUUCUUUUCAAACUAGGUUUGGUAUGGCCGCUUCUGUGUUCCUUUAUUAAGAAAGUCAAUUUUACAUUCACUUAGAUCAUAUGUUAUAGAAAACUUAGUAGACUCAUGAUUAUACAUCUUUUAAACGAAGGCACUUUAUUUCUGUUAUUCUCGUUUCGCUAGGUUGGCUUUCAAAAUUUGUUAUGGCUAAACUUGCUUUGGUAAACCUGUUUAAUGUUGAACAUUUCUCCACUUUGGUUAAUCCGCACACAUUCCGAUUAGACAGACAUAUUCCCAAUUCCAAUCGAGUCGCUGUUGAAUGACUGUCAAGUGUAUGAGAAUUCUGCUGAUGCGGAUUUCGUAUUAUUGCUAAAGAUUUGAUGUGUCUCGUCAGACAUGUCGAUUGAUUGGAUUUGGAUCGCUCUGGCUCUCGCAGUCACUUGUUGUCGUUUCGUUCAGUCAUUGUUCUUGGGGAUGCUGUACGACGUGUCGUGCCAGAUACUUGGUGAAGAAGUAUUCGACGAUCAACAUCAUGGCGGAUUAAAUUAACUUGCGGUGACUUACUGUAAAAUUUUGCCUUUCACGUUGAGUCAGUCACACCAUGUGGUCGACGUGGACUUGAUGAUCAACAAUAAGCGAUA
rnacentral:lncRNA from 1 species